CCAUCUCGGUCUUUCGCAGAUGGAAGUCGGGUUUGGGAAUGUUGCUGGGCACGAGUGCCAUGUGGCUUUGGAUGGAGUCUGAUGGACAGUUCUGUGCCAAAGGAGGGAGAAUGCCUGCUGUGGUCCUAAAGCACAAGCAUCCCACCCUGGCCAUGGGCAGACAGGCCCUGAAAAGAACCAACUGGGAGUUGGGAUGGUGGACUUGAGUCUUUGAUAUGUCUGGACCAGCUUUAAUUCUUUCUGCUGUUGGACACACGUUUUCCUCUGGAUGGCACGCUUGGGGUGCCAGUUUUGGAGACAUUUAAAAUAAAGGUGUGAAGAGUUAGCUCGUCGAGAAGGUGGCCCGGAACAAAGAAUUUCAAGCACGAAGGUAGACCUGUUCCCCUCCAGGAGGUUUCCAGGCAUUUAUGACGGCGGGCAGGCGGCGGACUGGCCGGCUGAAAGGCGGCUGGAUGGAUGCCCGUGAGGUAGAAGAUCAAAUAACUGAAUUUUAAUAAAACUUGAUGGGUAAACUGUC